rnacentral:piRNA from 1 species
UGUGAAGAGGAGCAUUUGGACUUCUGGGC